rnacentral:miRNA from 2 species
CAAGAACAUCAAACUACCUGAU